GCAAUUGGUUAAUUUUUAUCUUCUUCUAAGUAGUUUAAACGACUUCUCCAGCGUUUAAGGAUGUUCUCAUACGAAGUAAGUUCGGUGUUUUUCGUGCAGUCUCGUCCUUAUCCAAAUACAGUAACAUGCGAAAAUACCUCGAAUAUAUGAAAGCUCAACGCAUUUCUCCACCAAGCCUAACAGUUGUUGAGUCUUCAAAUUAGUGAAUAUCAUCAUAAUAAUUUCGAUUUGAGGUGAAGUAAGUGUAUCUCUCAGACUACCAGCCCUGUUUUAAGUUUGUUCUCAAUCUCAAUGAAAAUAAUUGAUUGCCGAUUGCAUGUAAUUCUUACUCUCACUCGGUCAGUAUUAGAAUUAUCUCAAUACACUUACAAAAAUCUAUUUAUUAUAACAAAAUCCAUUAUCAGAAAAUAACUGUUCCAAAUUCCUUGUAGAAAACAUGAUACACGGUUAAAUGAGACUUUUUUUUUUGAACUAGCAAUAAUAACACCUAGGUAAACCCCCGUUGAUUAUGAUAUCGCCACUGCCCAGAGCUAAAUAGAAUAUUUUUUCUAAACGAAAAAAAUUAUAUUCGUUCAAAAUUUUAAUUUUAAAAUGUGUUUAUUUCUUUCUUACAUUUAACGCUUUAUUUGCACCAUGUCACAUGCCGUUUCUCUUAAUUUUGUAAUAAAGAGCCGAAUAUCCGGCUAUCCGGCCUCGAUGCUGGCCGAAUAUCCGGUAUCCGGUAUCCGGCCAAACCACUAUCCGUUUCAUCACUAGUUAAGAACACUUUCAGUCAAAACCACAUCUUCCCUUUUAUGUUGAAUAAAAUCGUCAAAGUUACCAGCAACUUCAGUAGAAGAUAACUCGCCACUUUCAACAAUGCCAACAAAUGUUCGAAAGGUCAUUAACUGAUCUUUGGUGAAACAGAACCGUAGUUUCAAAGGGUUAUCGAAUAAAUCACAUAGUACAACAGGAUAUUUUUCUUGAGGUAGGAAAUAGGAGUAGUUGUGUGUCACCACACUCGAGCAAUUAAGGGCGAUAAGAAUUUUGCUCGUUAGCUCUAUUUUACUAUUAUAGAAAUCGAGCAAUUCGAUAGCACCGAGCGAGUGAUAGCUACCCACUCUACAUUGUUGUGUCGAAUUGGUCCCAACAAACGGUGUCGACAACGAUACCGAUAUCGUGCCAUUUUGCAACGAUUUUGUCGACCUACCCUUCGUAUUCGACAACCAAUUUCGAGCCAAACCUGUGCCAAUCUGGCACCGCGUCGACCGAUUGCAGUACUGCUCAACCGUUUUUAUGGCUGUGUGUUUUCAAAAAGUUUAAUGUUAAGCAAAAAAAAAACAAAAAAUUGCGUUGUUUACAAAUAUUUAUUUAUAAUAAAUUCAUACAAUUGUGCACUGUUGAUGUAUACUAUUCGCAGCGAUUAUACCGUCAUCAGUAAACUCCCGUCAGCUACAAAUUUCUUCAUCGGAAUCGCAGUCGGCUCAAUUAUUUUUGUCCCUUUCGUUCCCUCUAGCAGACACACCUAACUUCGUGGGGAAUCAUGACUGUUGAGAUGGAUGAGUUUUUUAUUCUGAAAUGAAAUUAAGAGAUCAAAAUUCAUAUCAUAAGUUAAAAUUAAAACCAGUCAUACUUACGGGUAUUCAAAUUGGUUACGUUCGUGUUGAAGUUGUUGUUGGUGAUUAUGGUGAGAUGAGCGCUUUGGUCUGAUCCCAAAAACAAUACUUUACUGAAGCUGCAAACUCCGUUUUCAUUCCAUUCAGAUCACCGCUAUUCUUUCAUUUUCAUUUAUACAUUUCUGCUGUUGCUGCUGCUUUCCUUCCUUUGACGCGAUAUAUCAACAAAGACUAGCUGCGUUCACCACAAAUUUCGCCUGUAUUUUGUCUCCGUGUUGUUGAAUUUGUUACUGAAGUUAAUCAAGGAAACAUAAUUUAUAUUUUAUAAUUAAAUAUCAAAAUUAUCCUUACUUACAAAAUUUAGUUCUCGAUUCUCUGUUAUAUUUUGAAUGACAAUUUAGAGAGAAAGAGAAAAAGCAAUCUCUACAGUGAUGCCGUUUCGCUCAGUACCAAAAAAUUGCAUACAAUUAUAGUUCAACUAUAGAUAGUGCAGCCUGCGGGGGGUAAGGCUGAGGUAGAUUCCAGCACUUUUGUAGCAUGUUACUUCGUUUCGGUCGACAUCGGGCCAAUGACUGCUCGAUUAUGUUUGGAACUGCCCAGUCUACUUUGUUAUGCCAAGUUGGUCCUAACAAAUGGUGUCGACAACGGUACCGAUAUCGUGCCAUUUUGCAAUGAUUUUGUCGACCUACUCUUUGUAUUUGACAACCAAUUACAAGCCAAACCUGUGCCAAUCUGGCACCGCGUCGACCGAUUGAAAAACUACUCGACCCUUAUUAUGGCGAUAUUUUUUUCUUAUGAAAAUUGAAAUAAAAAAAAAAAUAAAAACACCGUCGAUGGAAAUUUAUUAUUUUAUUCAGUAUACAACGACAUAAACAGAUCGCAUUUUGUUAUAUACGUACUACAUACUGCAUACUACAACUUUCUGAUUACAUGAUAUUUUAUGAUUGCUCACGACCGUAAAGCCACAAUCUCGGCAACCGGUUCUAAGGAAUAUCACAUGAUGCAAUAUCACGUCGAUCACUGAUAUCCCUGAUUCAAAAAAAUCACUCAACCUGCACUGAUCGAACUACUUCAGUACCGAUAUGUGUUCUUUUAUGCACUACGUACAGAAAACAGUCGACCGCCUUGCCAGAGAAUCUUCCUGUUAUCAUUUCGAAGUGAAGUGCUUGAGCGAAUGAUUGAACUUAUUCCUGCAGAGUGAAUACCCUCUCAUCAUCCGGCUGCUAUUUCGUUGAUUCAAUAGGGUAUUGAUGAACAUCAGUCAGUGAUGAAUCAUCACUUGGAGCUCGGUAUCUGUAAAAAAAAUAUUGAAUAUUAUUAGGAAAUUUAGAUACCAUGGAUUAUAUUGCAUGAAAAAAAAUUAAAACCAACGUUGAAAAAUGGUAAUAUUGUGCUAUUCGGCAUGGGUUAUACGCACUGGGAAUAUACAAUGAUCUAUACAAAUUACACCUAUUCCUUUUACAGAAAUGAUUUUAUAUUGGUUGAAUGGCUUCGAUUGAUUUUGGAACUUACCAUGAUAUUUACACAGCGAGUGACAUUAUCAUGAAGAUUAUUAUGUAUAUCCUCUGUAUCCUGUUAUUAUGCGAAUGGGGUGACGGAUGAUAAUCACUGUAAGAAAUAAUAUUCCAUUAACUUUGUUACUACCACAAGAAAAGCCGUUAUCAUUACCCGACCAGUGAUUCAAAAACGAUCAAUUUUGUUUCAAAAUUAGGUACGAAUAUCUAUAUCCGCAUUCUUUACCGUUGAGAAGAAAACGUUCUCAUAUACAAAAUCCGAAAGUAGUUGUUAGUCCAUAUGGUAAUAUAGAUACAGUGUAAUCUUCCUGCACAUUCAGUUCAAUUUCAAUAGCUUUCAGUGGAUUCCCAAAACAUUACCUGCACAAUUCAAUCCAGGAUUUCUCGAUAUCUAAAAGAAAGAAUCGCAUACGUUAAAUUGAAGUCUAUCUGACAAAUUAUAUUUUCCUUACCUAAAUAAAUCAUAUUUUUCUCCAUUGAACGAAAUAAACUGUUUCGACGAAUCUCGGUGUUCACAUCACUUUUUUCGUACGGUAUUGUGAGCUAGUCAUAACACCAUUUCGCAUAUGAUUUCCCGGAUUUGUUUUAGUCGAAUAUCUUCCUCCUUAACUACUGUCAUUUUUGUGCCUUUUCCGUUAUAUUAUCCGUAAAUUCAUAAUAUUCUCGUUUAGGAAACCCGGCGUCAGAAUGUGUUCCGUCGGUGGAGGAAUCUGUUAUUUGAUGCUGUUGUACCUGAGAUAGAUGCGCGACUGCUGCGUUUUUUUUCUGCUGCAUAAUCGUUUGUGGUGAAUCCAUUGUUGAAUAACUGGAACGGAAAUAAAAUCUAUAUCAUAUAAAUAUAAUUUAGAACUGCAAUACUUACACAUUUUGAGUCUCGAUCCAUUCUCUGUUGUGUUUUGAAUGACUGUUCAUAGAGAAAGAAAAAGGACAAUCUCUCAGUGAUGCCGUUUCGCUCAGUACACGUUAGCGCGAGCAUUUAUAGCUGAAACUGUGGGUAGUACUGCUUGCGGGGGGCAAAGCAGGGAUAGAUUCCGGCACUUUUGUUGCACUUUAUGGCUCUCGGUCGACAUCGGACCGAUAACCACUCGAAAAUAACUUAGAGCGGGUGGGUAUCGAUGCAAGUGUCAGAACUUUUCGAGUUGUUUAGUUCACUUGUUGCAUAUCUUCAGAGAAUUAUGUUGUUUUGGUUUGCGUCCCCGAUAUUAUCCUUUGGGAAACAUUACAGAAACGCUUAAAUAUAUACAAUUUUCAACACAUGUUCGUUUGUUUCGAUCAGUAUUUGUUUUACGAAGCUGCCUGAAUAGUCUAUACAAGCGCAUAUUUCAGUGGCUGAAAAUGGGUGGACAAGCAAAUCACCAUCAGUUUGAACGACUUGUUGAACCAAUGAAUGCGAAUGUAAACAUCGCUCGAGGUAUUUGUUGAGGCAGUUCAAAUAGAAUCCCGGUUAAAGGAAAGUGGGAGGAAUCCAGCGAGGAGCUUAAUGCACUGAGACCAUCAGUUCAGAAUGGCUGAGAAUUACAGAUUUGGAUUGACAUGAGGUGAAAGGUAAAGAAAACACUAGCACACAACAAGCGAGAAUUUAGGGUCACAGGUGGUUGCCCAAUACAAAAAAAAGCUAUUGACGCCGCUACAACAAGCAAUCGACGCUACACUCUCAGGAAAGAUUGGUAUAUAUGACGAUUUUUUUGGUAAAUAUUACCAAUGAAUAGUAAAUUUUUGCAAUACGAAUCAUUCGUACAUAUUACGCGAUAACAUUAGUAAACAAAUGUCAAAUCGGCCAGUAUAACCCAGUAUAAGCAAUCGGUUCAACGUUGAUUUAACAUACACCCUAAACAUGAUCGAAAUGAUUCAUAAUAA